ACCACAACGGGUGGAGCCUGCGGUUUAAUUGGACUCAACGCCGAGCAGCUCACCGGAUAAGACAGCUGGAUGAUAGCCGGGCUGAAGACUCUGCUUGACUAGCUGAGAGGAGGUGCAUGGCCGUCGUCAGUUCGUACUGUGAAGCAUCCUGUUAAGUCAGGCAACGAGCGAGACCCACGCCAACAGUUGCCAGCAUGUCCUCCGGGAUGAUGGGGACACUGUUGGGACCGCCUCUGCUAAAGAGGAGGAAGGAAUGGGCAACGGUAGGUCAGCAUGCCCCGAAUUAUCCGGGCUACACGCGGGCUACAAUGGUCAGGACAAUGGGUAUCGACACCGAGAGGUGGAGGCAAUCUCCUAAACCUGUCCUUAGUUCGGAUUGUGGGCUGCAACUCGCCCACAUGAAGCUGGAAUCCGUAGUAAUCGCGUUUCAAAAUAGCGCGGUGAAUAUGUCCCUGCUCCUU
rnacentral:rRNA from 1 species